rnacentral:rRNA from 1 species
AACGAACGCUGGCGGCAUGCCUAACACAUGCAAGUCGAACGAUUGCCUCCGGGUGAUAUUGGCUCACGGGUUCGUAACGCGUUGGAAUCUGCCCUUAGGUUCGGAAUAACAGCUGGAAACGGCUGCUAAUACCGGAUGAUAUCGCGAGAUCAAAGAUUUAUCGCCUGAGGAUGAGCCCGCGUUGGAUUAGGUAGUUGGUGGGGUAAAGGCCUACCAAGCCGACGAUCCAUAGCUGGUCUGAGAGGAUGAUCAGCCACACUGGGACUGAGACACGGCCCAGACUCCUACGGGAGGCAGCAGUGGGGAAUAUUGGACAAUGGGCGCAAGCCUGAUCCAGCAAUGCCGUGUGAGUGAUGAAGGCCCUAGGGUUGUAAAGCUCUUUUACCCGGGAAGAUAAUGACUGUACCGGGAGAAUAAGCCCCGGCUAACUCCGUG